rnacentral:rRNA from 1 species
CUACCACAUCCAAGGAUGGCAGCAGGCGCGCAAAUUACCCAAUCCCGACACGGGGAGGUAGUGACAAUAAAUAACAAUACGGGGUUCUUUCGGAUCUCGUAAUUGGAAUGAGUACAAUNUAAAUCUCUUAACGAGGAACAAUUGGAGGGCAAGUCUGGUGCCAGCAGCCGCGGUAAUUCCAGCUCCAAUAGCGUAUAUAAAAGUCGUUGCAGUUAAAAAGCUCGUAGUUGAAUUUCGGGAUCAAAUUGUCGGUCGUGCCUCGGUACGCACUGGCGCUAUNGGUUCCUCCCUUCUGAAGAACCGCGAUGUCAUAAAUUUGGUGUCACGGGGAAUCAGGACUGUUACUUUGAAAAAAUUAGAGUGUUUAAAGCAGGCUCGCGCUUGAAUACAUNAGCAUGGAAUAAUGAAAUAGGUCGUUUGAUUCUAUUUUGUCGGUUCCUAGGAUCGACGUAAUGAUUAAUAGGGAUANGUGGGGGCAUUAGUAUUCAAUUGUCAGAGGUGAAAUUCUUGGAUUAAUUGAAGACUANCUACUGCGAAAGCAUUUGCCAGGGAUGUUUCAUUAAUUCAGGACGAAAGUAGGGGAUCGAAGACGAAUAGAUACCGUCGUAGUCUUACCCAUAACAAGCCCAAUUAGAUAUCGAUUAAUGUAAUUUUUUAAUGACUCAUUCGCCCCUUACGGGAAACCAAAGUGUUUGGUUCCGCGGAAUAAUGUUCCCAAGCCUGAAACUUAAAGAAAUGAACGAAGGGCCACCACCAGGGUUGGAGCUUCCGGCUUAAUUGACUCAACACGGGGAACUCACCAGGUCCAGACAUAGUAAGAAUGACCAGAUUGAGAGCUCUUUCUUGAUUCUAUGGUGUUUGGUGCAUGCCCGUUCUUAGUUGGUGGAGUGAUUUGUCUGGUUAAUUCCGUUAACGAACGAGACCUUAACCUGCUAAAUAGCUAGGCUUAGCUUCGGUUAGGCCGUCAGCUUCUUAGAGGGACUAUCGGUGUUUAACCGAUGGAAGUUUGAGGCAAUAACAGGUCUGUGAUGCCCUUAGAUGUUCUGCGCCGCACGCGCGCUACACUGAUGAAGUCAACGAGUUCUUAUCAUUUAUCGGAAGAUAUGGGUAAUCUUUUGAAACUUCAUCGUGCUGGGGAUAGAGCUUUGCAAUUAUUGCUCUUAAACGAGGAAUCCCUAGUAAGCACAAGUCAUCAGCUUGUGCUGAUUACGU